rnacentral:lncRNA from 1 species
UUACUUUUAAAAUCAUCAUAAUUGUCACAUCUGUGUAUAGCAAAGGUUCUCAACCCUUGGGUCAUGGCUCCGGUUGGUAACCAUCUCUCUCCAAAACUAUUUAUAUUAUAGUUCAUAAUAAUAGCAAAAUUAUAGUUAAUAAGUACUAAGGUAAUAAUUUUAUGGUUGGGGGUGUCUCCAUAACCCGAGGGUCAUCAUAACAUAACUACAAUUAAAGGGUUGUAGGAUUAGGAAAGUUGAGAGCCACUUGUGUACAGGGACAGCUGCCUUAGGAGGCUUCCAUUCUCUGAAGACUUCUUAGGUUGCUUAAGCCUAAAUGGCACAAUCCUGUCUUGAUGUGACUUUCCUCCAGGAGGAACUAUCUUAACUCAAGACAUCAGACUUUUCCCCUCACAGAGAUGGAAGGGGUGGGUGGAGAGCAGAGAGUUGGUCAGAAGGAAGGAGUUGAUGUAAUGACUGGGGGGGCAGGAAUCACUGAAGAGUUUCUAUACAGUGGCAGUACACAAUUGACUGUGCACAUUUGCAAAAACCCAACCCAAACAAACAAACAAACAAAAAAAACAUACAAAUGAAAUCCCAUAAAUCGGACAUUUGUCCUCCUCUCAGCGGAGCAGACAAUUGUCCAAGUGGAGGUUGUUUCCUCUGUUUGGAAGACUGAUGUCAAAAUAAUGAAAGCAAUGAGAGACUCACAUUGCCCCACCUCUCCAUUUUCUAGUUGAAAAUCACCUACCCAGCAAACAUGUUGCCUAAAUGCCCUGUGCACUGAGUUCAAGUUUACUCAGCCUCUCUCUCAGCCAGUCUUUGGAUUCUUUUUGUCUCCUUAAUUGUAAGAGAACAGUGAUUUCAGUGGUGGUGGGAGAUUUGGUGGGCUGUAAUCUAAAAUCCUGGAGGGCAAGGAGAGGAUUUUUUCAAAAGAAUCCAAAACCAAGCUUUUACAGCAGAUGUUAAGAAGUUAUGUGACAGCAAGAGAUUCCAGUAAGGGACUUUCAAAGCUGGCUACUCCUUAGAAGACUUCUAGGAAGAAGAGCUCAUUUUCCUCUCUCUCUCUCUCUCUCUCUCUCUCUCUCUCUCUCUCUCUCUCUCUCUCUGUGUGUGUGUGUGUGUGUGUGUGUGUAAGUGUAAGCAAUUCGAUAGGCAAAAAGACAAAUAGGAACUCCCUUAAGUUCCUCUCUUCCCAACCCAUUUGGCAAUCCAGCGAGCAACCUUUGCUUUUGGCUGUUGGGUAAGACAAUAGAUAUACAAGAUAGUCACAAGGCAAUCUCUCUAUGUCCUUUAUCAGGAUUAGCUGUUACACCAAUAAGCAAAACAGGGAGGUGGGGUUUUUCCAUCACUGGCCUUUGCUGUUCCUGGGUGCCAGAUGGCAUUAUAUCCAUGAAGGGAGAAAAAAAAUGCUUCCAGUUUCAAUGUUGACCAGGCGCUGUUACUUCCACUCGAUCACACUGUUUGGGGCUCUCUUUGAUGUACAAACUCUCCAAAGAUAAUGAAAUGCGUUGGCAGCUGGCUAAUGGCUGGGAAAGUGCAAACCCUGAAUUGAACCCUUCCCAUCCGACUAUUCAGUAGCUAGGUAGUCAGGCCCAAGCUGCAGAAGGGGCAGAGAGGCUGGUUGCCAGGCAGGCCCUGAAGUCCCGGGCAAGCUGCUGCGUUGUCGUUCCCCUCUCCUCCCCCACACAGAAGUGGUCCGUGCCUGCUGUAGCAAAGGGAAAAUAAAUCCAUCAGCGCCAAGCACGGGCUUAUUUUGAGCUGGCUGCUGGAAUUUAUUUAAGAGCCUGGUGCUUACAGGUAAACAAAGCCAUCCUCAGAAGGCGGGGCUUGGGAAGGUGAUCUGAGAACUGUGGGUUUUCUUCAGUAGAGGAGGUAGAACCCGCAUCUUUAUGUAAAAACAGGGGGUAUAAAUUUAACUCUGUGGCUGCUGGUCUUUUCAGUGGCCUAGAUCACUGGACAAAUAGAGCAUGGGUAAUUGAAGGGGGCGGGGCUCUUCUCACUCCUUUCUCCUUGGCUAUCUGAUGCUCUUGCCUAUCUCCACCACUACAGCCCCAGGAGAGUAGCAUUGAAUUUGUGGGACCCUCAGGCCUCACUUCUCAGUGCCAACCCCGCAGCUGAAUUGGUCCCCAAUGUGGUUCUGUCUUCUAGACCCUCUUUCCCCCUAAAAUAAGCAACAACAACAGAUCACUUUUGCACUUUUUGUUCUUUUGGGACAGGGACUUGCUAUGCAGCUCAGACUGGCCUGGAACUCACACCAUCCCACCAUCCCCCACCUGCCUCCGACCUCAGAGUGCUGUGAUCUCAGGCCUGCACCACCCUGCCAAGCUACAAUUAUUUCCUUUGUUCCUAGAAUGUAAGUCUGAAUUCUAUAGGGGACAGGCCAGCCCUAUGGGUUGACAACCAAAAAAAAAAAAAGGUAGAAAAAUACUUAAAAGAAUAUGAGGGGGAGACAGCUGGGUCCGAAAGGUGCUUAUCAUGCAUUGAUGAGACCUGAGUUCAAUUCCUAGCACCCAGGCUAAACAACGUGUGUGGAAGCUUGUGAUUUCAAUCCCAGUGUUGGGGGAUGCUGAAGUAAGCAGAUUGAUGGGCUCUCUGACCAACUAGCCUGCCCAGUCAACCAGCCCCAGGUCCUCAAAAACAAGUUAGGAUAGCUUCUGAGGAAUGUCUGUGGAGGGUGGUCUCUUAGCAUCCUCAAACAAGUACGCAGUGCGCGCGCGCGCGCGCACACACACACACACACACACACACACACACACACACACACACACACAUAGACAGAGACACAGAGAGAGAGAGAGACAGGCAGAGAGACAGAGAGACAAAGACCACAAGCAUAUUUUUGGAGUUAUGGUAACUGAUCGAGAUUUAGAAAGGUUGGUAUCUCUAAGUAAGACUGUAGCCAUCCAUGCAUAGAUGCCCCGUGGCUGCAUUAGCAGCCGCAGAGGUUUCAGAGCCCGACUGUGCGGCACACACAGCAUUUAUUAAACAACAUGCCCCCUUCCAGAGAAACUGUGCCCCCCUUGAAGCUUUCUGUAGGACUUGACUCAUUCCCUUAGCCCAUCCCUAAAGCCUUCGUAUCAGUUUGGUUGGCCCAGAAGCUCUCACAGCCCCACUGUUUUCAUCACUUUUAUCUGGAAAAAACAACAACAACAAAAGAUUAUUAUAGUUAGUGGUUAGGCAUUGCUUUCCCUUUUAUCUCGCUGAAAAUGGAACCAACUUUUUCAGGUUUUUUUUUUUUUUCCUAAAGCUUCCUUCCUGAACCCUGCCUUAGACUUACAGUCAGCCUACGUGUUGCCCUUUAAACAAAUGCUGGGGUAUGAAUUGCCUGAAGGGCAUUGUUUCUGCCUGAGUGGAAAUUUAAGUGGACUGAUGGGUUCAGAUGAUAAAACUUCUUCUGGUGCCUUUUUUUUUUUUUUUAACGUUCAAGUCUCCAUCUGCCAAUCCACAGGACUGGGCUCAUAGCCCAAGGUUGCAAAUGUAUCUGAACAGAAAUGAAUCUGCCCAUCCUAGAACCUGAAUUAUGCCUCUGAAUCUGCUGCUUUGGACAAUUCCAACAGAGUUGACUGAGCUCUGUUUGGUUUUGGGGUUUGUCUAUUUUUGAGACAAGAGUCUCACUAUCCAGACAAGACUGGCUUCAAAGUCCUACAAAUCGAAUGGCCUCUGCCUUCCAAGAGCUGAUAUUGAAGGCACAUGACACCAUACCAGGCCUUUGUUUGGUCUUUUUGAGUCAGGGACUUGAGUUCUAGUUCAGGGUGGCCUUGAACUCAGAACCAUCUUGCCUCAGCCUCCCAAGUGAGUGCUGCCUUUAUAAGGGGUACAUCAUGUUCAACCAUGGCUUUCAAAACAAGUCUUGGCUACCUUCUCUCUUCCUCUUUCUCCCAUUUGUCAUGUCUACUGGAUGGGAGGUUUAUAAUGUCUUACCUGAGGUAGUCAAGAUGGUCUCUGAACUGCAGCUUGUUCCACACAGUAAUUACAGCUACAUGGGGAUGGUUCAAUCAAGAGGAUGGGAAACUCACAGAGUGACUUCAAGGCCAGCCUGGGACGCCUACUGGGACCCUAACUACCACUACCCCUUCCUUUCCUCCUUCUCCCCUUCCUCCUCUCCUUCCCCCCUUCUUCCUAUUUUUUGUUUUCCUUUUUCUUUUUAGGCACUUUAUGAUAAAUGUGAGAAUGCUGAUAACUAAAAACAUAUUGAAAUUCAGAUUCUUGUAUAACCUUAUUCAACGGAUUAGAAUUGAUUUGUUCCAAGGUAUUUUUUUUUCAAGGACAAUUCACCCAUGUUGGUAGAUGAUGGUUUUUUUUUUUUUUAAUUAUAUGGAUAAAAACAACGCAGAACAACAACAACAACAAAAAGUCACGCCAAAUCAAUCGAUGGGUCUCCUUCUCAAACUUUUUAGUCCAUUUACACAGGCAUUAAUUCUUCCUUCCUCAACUCUUUUCAGCUCAACCUUCCUCUGAGUCCCCAUGCAUGGGUCUGGACUCAGUUUCCUUCAAUGACAUGCAGCGAUUCAGAAUCGCUGUGGUUUUAAAGUAGCAUUAAAAGAAAAGCUUUAGAUCAAUCUUCAAAUCUUCAAAACUUCAACCAAAUUGAAGAGAAAUUUGAUUGAGCAAAAGAACAAUUGACAAGGCUCACAGUCCUCAAACCAGAACAGGUUCAAGCAGCUGAGUUAAGCAUCAGCAUCCUGUGUUCCUUAUAUGGACAUCACACACACACACACACACACACACACACACACACAUCAGUGGGUCAGCCCGUGAUUGGCUGAAGCUUACAUGCUGUGGAUAGCUGAGCGUCAGCUGUGUGUUUAUGAAAACGUAUUUCUGGUUUGGAUUUCAGUUUUCCAAGUUGGGUUUGCAGUUUGUUUUGUACAGACAAACUGAAGAAGUAGCCUGGGGCUAGUUAAUAUUUAAAUGGUAUGGAUAACCCCUUAGGCAAGCUCCCUUCCCUUCCUGAUAGAGUGAGUUUUCAAUAUUACCUUAGUUGUUCACUCAGUGUAAUGGGAAUUCCUUCCCUGGGAAAUAUAAACAGUAUCUAACCAUCUCCCUCUGUAAGAUCCCAACCACAAAGCAACUGAGUUUAUUGGGUUUGCUUACAAAGUGUGGGUGAAGGACUGCUAGCAAGAGCUUGGGUGAUCCUAAAACAUCCCUAUUGGAAAGUCUCAACCCAGCAUGGAUAAUGACUCCUCCUGUGGCCAUAGAUGGAGCCCACUUGCGCAUCCUCUCGGGCAACACCAACCUUGCCACUGCCUUUAUGAAAAAUUUGGAUCAAAAUGGCUGGGAGGCGUGGUCACAGUAUCAGGUGAGAGUUCAAUGCCUCUCCUUACAGUCUCUUCCUGUGACAGAAUGCCCACGAGCCUGCUUCUGAUGGACACACUUACGAGUGUCCAUCACUCUCUAGGCACAGCAGAUGAAGAUGAAGCUGUUUGGAGUAGAUGGUUAUGCUCUUUCAUUUACCUAUUUAUUUGAAAUGCCGUCGAGCUAAGGUCUUCCAGACUAGCUUUAAACUUAGAACCUCCUACCACAACCUUCUUUCUAUAUGCUGGGAUUAAAUUGUGUGACCCUACAGCCUGUGACUAGAUUGGAUUGUUCUUUCUGAACUUUUUAUUAGCAUAUAUGAAUUUUACAUAGUAAUAUCUUCCAUGGUGAUAUUUUCAUGUAUGUGUGUGUGUGCGAGUGCAUAUGCUAUGGUGUGUUCAGAAGUCAGAAGACAGUUUGUAAAAGCUGGCUUUCUCCUUCUACAAUGUCAGUGGUGGGUUUUGACCCAUCGAGCCACUUGGGAGGUUUGGAGGGCCCAUUCACAAAGGUCAUUUAAGAAAUGAGAAAUAUCAGAUAUUUACCCUAAUAUUCAUAAAAGUAGCAAAAUUACAGUUAUGAAAUAGCAACAGAAGUAAUUUUAUGGUUGGUGGUCACCACAAUAUGAAGAACUGUGUUGAAAGGUUGCAGCGUUGAGAACCACUGCUCUCUGUGACUCCUGGGGCUAUAACUGUGAUCAUCAGACUUGGAGGCAAAUUCUUAACAGAUGAGCAAAAAUUGCUGGCCCAUAAACUGAUUUGUUUUGUUUUUCUUUUGCUUUGUUUUGUUUUUUCAAGACAGGGUUUCUCUGUGUAACCCUGACUGUCCUGGAACUCACUCUGUAGACCAGGCUGGCCCCAAACUCAGAGAUCUUUCCGUCUGCCUCUGCCUUCUGAGUGCUGGGAUUAAACACAUGUGCCACCAAGGCCCAGCCACAGUCAAGCUUCACAACACACAGAUUCGAGUUCUAAUCACCUAUUCUAAUGUUUUCUUUCUUCCUUUCUUUUCCUUCCUUCCUUCCUUCCUUCCUUCCUUCCUUCCUUCCUUCCUUCCUUCCUUCCUUCCUCCCUCCCUCUCCCUCUCUCUCUUUUUUCUUUUAUAUCUUGGGCUGGUUUAUAUAUGAAUAUGUGUAAAUAGAUAUGUCAUUGCUCUUGUUUAGUAUUUAGCUUUAAAAAAAAAUCAAAUUUAUUUUUUCUUUCAAUUUCACAUUUUGUUAUUUUGAGUUCCUUAAGAUAGUUUUCUAUUCAUCCCUCUUGAAGCUAGUUAUUGUUAGCAGAUUCUAUUUCAUAGUUGUUAUUGUUAGCAUAUUCCAUGUUGUUCACUAACUAUAAACAAUACACACACCACAUACCAUACAGACACCACACACACACACCACAUGCACACCACACACAUGCACACGCACACGCACACCACAUACCACAUGCUCACCACAUACAGACAUACCACAUGCACACCACACACAUACAUAUCACACACACCCCCCACAUUCACACUACACACAUACACAUCACCCCCCCACCACACACACACCACACACACAUACACACACACCACAUGCACACCACACACAUACACACACACACACACACACACACACACACACACACACCACACAUGCACACCACACACAUACACACACACCACAUGCACACCACACACACAUACCACAUGCACACCACACACAAACAUAUACCACAUGCACACUACAUGCACACCACACACACACACACACACACACACACACACACACACACACACAAGUUUUCACAACACUUCCUCUGCUCCAGUGUGAUGUGAUUUGAAAGGAAAACCAUCAAAGAUGGCUUUUUUUUAAUUCAGUACACUUUGAGUGCUGGUGAAGUGCCAAAAUGUUUAAGUGCCCUGGCUCCUGGGACUCCCCCAUGUCCCCCUUCUUUCUCUGUUCCAAAGAAUAAGAUCUAUUAUUUGUUCUGUCCUUCGCUAUGUCCUCUAGAUUCUUGGAUGAAAUUCACAAGGAGUUUUUAAAGCCUACUUGCCCCUCUGAUGAUGGCUGGUGAUUUAAAUUUGCAUUCUAAUGUGGCUCUUAAGAGAGCAGCCUUAACCUUCCCUGUGCUUUACCGUGAAGAUUUAAAGAAAGGCACAUGGUGACCAAUACUUUGUAUAUAUCACUUGUUCAUGGUGUGCUUUCAGUUUAACAAGUGACCCUUUCUUUGUGUGUGAGGUGUAUGGUAUGUGCAUGUGUGGUGUGGUGUGUAGUAUGUAUCUGUGUGUGGUGUGGUGUAUGUGUGUGUGUGUGAGCGUGGUGUACAUGUGGUGUGUAUGUGGUGUGGUGUGCAUGUGGUAUGUGUGUGUAUGCAUGUGGUAUGUGUGUGUGGGUGGUGUGCAUGUGAUAUGUGUGUAUGCAUGUGGUAUGUGUGUGUGUGUGUGUGGUGUGCAUGUGAUAUGUGUACAUGUGUGUGAUAUGUGGUGCAUGUGUGUGGUGUGUGUUGUAUGUGUUUAUGUGUGUGUGUGUUUGUGUGUAUAUAUAUAUGAUGUGUGUGACUGUCUUUCAUAUGCAAACCAUAGUCCUCAAAGGCCAAUUUUUUGUGUAAUUUCUCUUCCGAGUUCAGUUUACAUAGUAAUGCACAUGAUAAAGACCUAGUGAAUACUUCUCAUUGAUCUUGGUGUCUUUGUCUUUAAACACUCCUUUUGAUGACCGAUAAAUGAUCAGAACCAACGACUGCUCUGACCUCUUGCCUUUACAGUAGGUCCGAAAGAGAUCAUCCUUAAAUAGGUUUGAUCCUGUCACCGUGUACCCAUCAGGACUUCUUGUUGCCUAGAGAUCUUGGUCCCAACCCUCCUUUUUUAUUUUACACAUUCUUCCAGAAUAUUCAGGGCCCUGAUCAUUAUCACUAGCGUAACCUGUAUCCUUACUGACACAGCGGACUCCAGUCAGUGGUUUCUGUCCUUCCUGGACAGGCUCCACGUAUUCUAGCUGCUGACCUUUGCUCAGCCUGUCUGCCCUCCAGGGGCACGGGCCUUCUCUGAUUGGCUUGUCCUCCAUGCCCUCUCCUGUCUUCCCCACAACAGUCUGGGCCAGCCCUGUCCUCCCCAGCUUGUCUCUUACCUUCAUCACUAAGCAGCACCCUUGUCACCCAUCUCCAAGAUCUUCCAGACACUUCUUGGUAAAGCCACCCAGGACCCCUCUUGCCCUUCUCUUCCCUCUCUUACUCUCUUCCUACUAAAGUUUGGGUACUGCAUAGCACAUCCUUCAGUAUACACCUAUAUUUGAGGUCAUUUGAUAAGGGAUUAUUGCCUCCACUUUAAACUUUUGUAAGUAGCCUGUGCUGCUUCAUCCCGGCCUCCUUGUAUCUCCUGUAGGCCACAAGGGAUGCAUACUAAAUAUUGAUGAAUACAUUGUUGAUAGUAAAAAUAGUAAAAAUUCCUGUCCCUACCUCUUACCCCCAUUUACCCUCGGGAAUUGUCCCAGUCUCCCAUUCAAACCCUUCUCUCUCUUUCCUCCAAUCCCUUCACACUUGCUGAUUCUCUAAUAGAUGGAAGUUAGAUCAGAAAAAAUGCUCAAGGUCCUGUGUAGGGAUAACUAUUAACACAGGCUU